GUGCUCUCCUCAGCAGCACAUAUGCUAAAAUUGGAACGUGCAAAGAAAAUGCGCAUGGUCCCUGUGGAAAGAUGACAGAAAAUUCAUGAGGCAUUCCACAUUUGG
ensembl:snRNA U6 U6 spliceosomal RNA